rnacentral:rRNA from 1 species
AUUGAACGCUGGCGGCAUGCCUUACACAUGCAAGUCGAACGGCAGCACGGGGCAACCUGGUGGCGAGUGGCGAACGGGUGAGUAAUGCAUCGGAACGUACCUUUCAGUGGGGGAUAACGUAGCGAAAGUUACGCUAAUACCGCAUAUUCUGUGAGCAGGAAAGCAGGGGAUCGCAAGACCUUGCGCUGAUUGAGCGGCCGAUGUCAGAUUAGCUAGUUGGUGAGGUAAAGGCUCACCAAGGCGACGAUCUGUAGCGGGUCUGAGCGGAUGAUCCGCCACACAGGAACAGAGACACGGUCCAGACGCCUACGGGAGGCAGCAGUGGGGAAUUUUGGACAAUGGGGGCAACCCUGAUCCAGCCAUGCCGCGUGAGUGAAGAAGGCCUUCGGGUUGUAAAGCUCUUUCGGCCGGGAAGAAAUCGCACGGGCUAAUACCCUGUGUGGAUGACGGUACCGGAAUAAGAAGCACCGGCUAACUACGUGCCAGCCGCCGCGGUAACAC